GGUAGCACAGAGAGCUUGCUCUCGGGUGACGAGCGGCGGACGGGUGAGUAAUGUCUGGGAAACUGCCUGAUGGAGGGGGAUAACUACUGGAAACGGUAGCUAAUACCGCAUAACGUCGCAAGACCAAAGUGGGGGACCUUCGGGCCUCAUGCCAUCAGAUGUGCCCAGAUGGGAUUAGCUAGUAGGUGGGGUAACGGCUCACCUAGGCGACGAUCCCUAGCUGGUCUGAGAGGAUGACCAGCCACACUGGAACUGAGACACGGUCCAGACUCCUACGGGAGGCAGCAGUGGGGAAUAUUGCACAAUGGGCGCAAGCCUGAUGCAGCCAUGCCGCGUGUGUGAAGAAGGCCUUCGGGUUGUAAAGCACUUUCAGCGGGGAGGAAGGCGUUAAGGUUAAUAACCUUGGCGAUUGACGUUACCCGCAGAAGAAGCACCGGCUAACUCCGUGCCAGCAGCCGCGGUAAUACGGAGGGUGCAAGCGUUAAUCGGAAUUACUGGGCGUAAAGCGCACGCAGGCGGUCUGUCAAGUCGGAUGUGAAAUCCCCGGGCUCAACCUGGGAACUGCAUUCGAAACUGGCAGGCUAGAGUCUUGUAGAGGGGGGUAGAAUUCCAGGUGUAGCGGUGAAAUGCGUAGAGAUCUGGAGGAAUACCGGUGGCGAAGGCGGCCCCC
rnacentral:rRNA from 1 species